GAUGGAGGAGGCCUUUUCUACUCUUGCAUGGAGGAUAUUUAUGUGACUGAGCUGGAGAAGCAGGUGACUGGAUUUUAAAGGACUGAUGUUCCUGAUGAGAAGGCAGAGUGUGUCUUCAAAUCAGAAACUUGCUCCCCACAGCGUUCACAGCCAGAGGCCUUGCAUUAAAUAUGGCAAAGCCUCAACAAGAUCAGGCCCCAUGCCAUGGUGAUCUUCAACUGGAAUCAGUCUGCUCACCAUCUACAAGUCAGAAGUACUUUCAUGAAUGGCAAUUACAGAGAAACCACUCUCUGGCAUAAGAAGAGACAGAGAUGCCAGAACAUUUCCAAACAUGAUGCUGCAGAGCCUGAGAGAAUCCCAGGCUGCCUUUACUGCUGAUGUCUCUCUCCUCCUCCUUUCCUUCCUCCUCCACCCCCCCAACUCCUCCUCCUCCUCCAUCCUUUUUCCCCUGAAAUAACAGUAUUAAAGGAAAAUCAAGUUUUACAAAUCUAUAAUAUCAAUUUACAUUUGAAUAAUUUAAUAAAUUGAAAUAGCAGCAUAAAAACUAAAAUAAGGUAUAAUGUUCAACCUAUAAAAUAAUUAUAAGAAUUUCACAUAUGUAAUAAAAUACAGUCCAGGACAGGUAAUUUCAUCUUUAGUGGGACAGUUUUUAAAAUGCAUGAAGAGCAUUUUUCAUUAAUGUAUCCUGUCUCUGUAACUUUAUGUCAUUGGGAAAUGCCUCAGGAGGUCUUACAUGAAUGUGACUCAAAAAAUGGUUUUCUCUCCCUCCCAUUUUCCCCAACCCUGUGCUGGGCACUUUCCUGGCCUUGCCAGGGCUGGUUAAUACAGGUAGUGCCCAACCUAAAAAUCAUACUUUGGCAAUACUAUCCUUAGGGGACUUGAGUGACACAGUCUGUUAAGAAUCCAGC